rnacentral:lncRNA from 1 species
CUUGGAGUUCUAAAUGUGAAUUUGAUGGAUUUAUGAGUAACUUGGAAGCCGGAGCCAACUUUGUGAUUGCAGACCACAAGGGCCACUAUUUCCACUCUAUUAGGAAGUGGUUACACUCUAAGUUUGUUAAUUGUCCUGAUCUACAAAAGUUUAUCUUUUCAAUGGCAACUUUUUUAUGGCAUCUAGCUAGAGUUGUCACUAAUAUUAUGCUUU